UACGUAGGGUGCAGGCGUUAAUCGGAAUUACUGAGCGUAAAGCGUGCGCAGGCGGCUCCUUAAGUCAGAUGUGAAAGCCCCGGGCUUAACCUGGGAAUGGCAUUGGAAACUGGCGAUCUAGAGUGCGGUAGAGGGUAGUGGAAUUCCCGGUGUAGCAGUGAAAUGCGUAGAGAUCGGGAGGAACAUCUGUGGCGAAGGCGACUGCCUGGACCAGCACUGACACUGAGGCACGAAAGCGUGGGGAGCAAACAGG
rnacentral:rRNA from 1 species